rnacentral:lncRNA from 1 species
CCUCUCGGCGAUAACGACCUGGAAUGUAUCACCUGUCCGGAGCAAAUCGAGGAGAUUCCCGCGACGGCGAAUUCCACUACGCUUUGCGAGGCCCACUUCACUGAGAAUCAGUUUUACCCACUGACAUUGCACAACUGUGAUGCUAAAUGCACUGCCACCCCCUCAGUCUUCUGCCACAUGGCUCAAGAGCAAGGUGCAAAGCAAGGCAUUGACCAUGCCUCAUCUGAAAAAGAAAACAUGCCGAUGCAAGAUGGCUCUCAAAAUAAUGCACGCAUUAAAGUUACAUCACAGUGCUCCAGAGGAUUGUGCAGUCGUGAGCCACUAACUUCUUUGGCCACAAUGCAAGUUUCCAGUGCAACAAAGCCCGGGCGAUCUCUUCUGAAGCCAAAAGUAUGUGCAUCUAGAUUAAGCUCGGGCAGGUGCCACAGCUACCAGGCAGAAGUGUGAGCAAAAAUGGAUUUGACCUUGUCUGUGCAAAUCCUGGGCGAUCGCUGUUGAAACGACACCAGGCAUCGAACCUGCAGCAGGAUGGGCAGCCAGUGACUUGCAGCAUGCACACUGCCAUGGCCAGGUUUCAUCACAUACAACCUGGGCAGUCACUCCUGAAAGAACACUGGGCAGUUCAUGCACCCAACAUGAAGCUAAAUAGGCAGCCAGCAACUCGUGCUCUGGGAA